AGAGUUUGAUUAUGGCUCAGGAUGAACGCUAGCUACAGGCUUAACACAUGCGAAGUCGAGGGGCAGCAUGUGGUUGCUUGCAACCAAUGAUGGCGACCGGCGCACGGGUGAGUAACGCGUAUCCAACCUUCCCUAUAGUAGAGGAUAGCCCGGCGAAGGUCGGAUUAAUACUCUAUGUUUUCCAAUGCAGACAUCUAAAAUGGAACAAAGGUUCACCGCUAUAGGAUGGGGAUGCGUCUGAUUAGAUAGUCGGCGGGGUAACGGCCCACCGAGUCGACGAUCAGUAGGGUUCUGAGAGGAAGGUCCCCCACAUUGGAACUGAGACACGGUCCAAACUCCUACGGGAGGCAGCAGUGAGGAAUAUUGGUCAAGUGGGCGAGAGCCUGAACCAGCCAAGUAGCGUGCAGGAUGACGGCCCUAUGGGUUGUAAACUGCUUUUAUACAGGGAUAAAGUGACGUACGUGUACGUUUUUGUAGGUACUGUAUGAAUAAGGACCGGCUAAUUCCGUGCCAGCCGCAGC
rnacentral:rRNA from 1 species